UGCGGGAUGCCGAAGUCGGGUUCCGCGCUAUGACACUUGCUGACUUAUCAGGAGAAUACUCAUGAGC
rnacentral:sRNA from 1 species